rnacentral:rRNA from 1 species
UACGGAGGAUCCAAGCGUUAUCCGGAAUCAUUGGGUUUAAAGGGUCCGUAGGCGGUUUUGUAAGUCAGUGGUGAAAGCCCAUCGCUCAACGGUGGAACGGCCAUUGAUACUGCAAGACUUGAAUUAUUGGGAAGUAACUAGAAUAUGUAGUGUAGCGGUGAAAUGCUUAGGGAUUACAUGGAAUACCAAUUGCGAAGGCAGGUUACUACUAAUGGAUUGACGCUGAUGGACGAAAGCGUGGGUAGCGAACAGG